ensembl:lincRNA
AUGAAGGAGGUCAAGUCACAGGGUGAAAGUCAUGGUAUCUGUGGCAGACACGGAGAUGCAACCUCAGAUCUCCAAGAAAAGAUCGGUUGGUUACCCAGCUUCGAGGAGGAAACUCCCCUAGGUCUGGCACUGCUUUUGAGCCAUGGUACUCUUCUUGGGUGGCCCUCAAACAAUGAGCAAAAUACUGGUACAAGGCAGGGCCAUCUCCUCCCAACAUGGGACCACUCUAUGGGCGGUCUUUGUGGCAGAGCUCCUGGUUGGUCUGUGGGGGCUUUCUCAGAGCAAUGCUGUGCUCUAGGAGUCCACCUUUUUAAUCCUCCCUUCUCCCCAUCUUGUCCUGCUAGUCUCAGCCCCGCAGCAUGGUCUGAAGGCUCUCCCUGUCAACUCCUGCUUUUUUCCACUUUGCCAUUUGCAGUUGCUCACAAUAAAUCUCUUGCUCUUUUACCUUCUUCUUGGCAUCUGCUUCCUGGAGGACUCAAACAACUCAGUUCCUGGUCAGCAGAGCUGUGAUGGUAUAUGGCCAAAUGUGAAUGUAAUUUGUCAAAGAACAGGAGCAGCAUCAUCAAAAAAAAAUCAAGUGUCUGUUGGGGUGACAAUAAACUCAGCAGCAAAGAUGAUGGUAAGCCUUUUACAAUUACAGUGUCUGGAGAUAGCAGCAUGGAGCGCUAAUGUCAAGACAAUUGAAAAGUCAUCCCCUUUCAAGCAGUAAGACUUUCAAAAUCUUUAGUGAUUAUGGGUGGCUAUCAUUCCAAAGGCUUAAGCACAAUUCUGUUAUUUUAAACACAAUACCUCAAAUCUGAAUUAUUUAAAAAUAAAACUUCAGGAC